CGCCCUCGAAGUAGAAGAGCACAUUCUGGUAGAGGGCGAACCACUUCUCGUGCCAGCGGCUCGCCUCGGCCGUCUUCUUACUCAGGAAGCCGCGCUUGGUGCCCUCCUUGCGCGCCAGAAAGGCCAGGCUCAGCUUUCUCAUCACUGAACUGGAGAUACAGGAGUUGGAGACUUGGAAUCCCCUUUGGUGCAGAAACUAUUCCUUCAUGAGAAGAAGUCCUUAAAUAGGCUCUUUAGACAGGAGGCCACAUGUUGAAGGCAGCAGGGUCACAAGAUGGAAGAACCAGGGUCCCAGUAUCAUCGCUCCCUGCUUCAAGCUGCCAGGGGCAGCCUAACCCACAUGGCAUUAUGACAUAAGAAACAAAGUAACUAUUGUUUUAUUAAAUCAAUGAGAUAUUGGGCUUCUUGUUAUAGCAACUAGUAUAAAUUGCCCUGACUGAUACAUUAUGGAUUUAGAGUGCACUGUACUACAACUGUUUGUUGUAUUUUCAAAAUUGUGGUAUAACUGACUUACAAUAAACUUCAUAUAUUUAAAGAGU
rnacentral:lncRNA from 1 species